rnacentral:lncRNA from 1 species
AUACCAUGAACACUUGGAAUAACCUUGAAAAUAAGGAUCCUUUCGUUUUUCUCUAGUGAAAUCGGCUAGCCCUCUUAGUGUACCCACACUAGUUCCAAUUUCAUCAACCAAGGACCUCUUUAUAUAGUGUGGAGAUUAGGGUUAAACCCUAAUACACAUGAGCUUUCAUUUCUUAUGAUCCAUGGGUUAAACACUCCAUGGACUAUCCAUGAAAGCUUAGCCCAACUUAAAUGAACUUGGCCCAUCACACAUAUAUAUCUAAGAGUCCAUAUUUAAUUAGUUCCUUUUGAUUACUUAAUUAAUUAUAAAUUAAUUCUUGAUGAAUACUAGUUAAAUAAUAUGAUUAUGUAUUAAUAUACUAGAACUUAUAAUAUAUUAAUAUAAAAUCACUAGUAUCCUUUUUCCUCAUCUUGUCUAUCCGAUUUUCCCGAUGCCAUGCAACCCAUAUGGACCAUGCCGGGUCGGGUCAAGUCUUACCAAUUAUAUUUAUGGACAUAGACAUUCAUCCAACAGUCUCCCACUUAGAUAAGUCUAAAACUAUUAUUGUGUAUGACUUCAAGAACCUACUGGCAAUCAUAGCUCUCAAAAGCUUCCGUUGAACUCUGACCUUGCCGAUGAUCUCUGACCUUUGUCAAUGACUUGUCCAUUAGAUAAGUGAUCAUAUAUUCCACCAUUCUAGAUAUAAUAUGGAAUGAGACAUGGAUUAUAAAUCAUUCUUUCUAUCCAUCUGUUGUUUCCCGAUUUCUGAUUCAUGAUGACUGACUGAUUGAUCAAAUCAAAUCAAUCCUGGCUUGGCCAAGCACUCACAUGUAUCAUCAUUAAAUCAUCGAGGGGCUAACAGAUAUCGCUUUUAUGCCGAAGGUUAAAGGAAUGGAUAAACUUCGACUCAUAUGGCUUGUUCUACUACUUGUUGAAUCAUACACAAAGGCACAUUUUAUAAAAUCGAGUUACCAAUGUGUUUUCGUGCAAUCAAUGUACAACCAACUCAUAGUAACAACUCAUAUCUCUAGGUUUGAAGAAUAUAAGAUAUUAUCNGUUGAAUCAUACACAAAGGCAUGUUUUAUAACAUCGAGUUCCCAAUGUGUUUUCGUGCAAUCAAUGUACAACCAACUCAUAGUAACAACUCAUAUCUCUAGGUUUGAAGAAUAUAAGAUAUUAUCGUCUCAUGAUCACUCAUGAUAAAAUCCAUGAAGUGAUUCCAAUGAGCGCGGGUUGAAUCCAAUACUUAGAACUUAUGAGCACUCAUGAGUGUUGUAGCACCACCUUGUCCAACAUCUUAGACUUAUACAAGCCCAACCCAUGACAGUCUUGAUUCAUAUCUACUUCC